CCUACGGGAGGCAGCAGUGGGGAAUAUUGGACAAUGGGCGAAAGCCUGAUCCAGCCAUGCCGCGUGUGUGAAGAAGGCCUUCGGGUUGUAAAGCACUUUCAGUGGGGAAGAAAGCCUUGGGGCUAAUACCCUCGAGGAAGGACAUCACCCACAGAAGAAGCACCGGCUAACUCCGUGCCAGCAGCCGCGGUAAUACGGAGGGUGCGAGCGUUAAUCGGAAUUACUGGGCGUAAAGCGCGCGUAGGCGGUCUGAUAAGCCGGUUGUGAAAGCCCCGGGCUCAACCUGGGAACGGCAUCCGGAACUGUCAGGCUAGAGUGCAGGAGAGGAAGGUAGAAUUCCCGGUGUAGCGGUGAAAUGCGUAGAGAUCGGGAGGAAUACCAGUGGCGAAGGCGGCCUUCUGGACUGACACUGACGCUGAGGUGCGAAAGCGUGGGUAGCAAACAGGAUUAGAUACCCCAGCAGUC
rnacentral:rRNA from 1 species